rnacentral:rRNA from 1 species
ACGAACGCUGGCGGCGUGCUUAACACAUGCCAGUCGCACGGAAAGGCCUCUUUCGGGGGGUACUCGAGUGGCGAACGGGUGAGUAACACGUGAGUAACCUGCCCUUGACUUUGGGAUAACUUCAGGAAACUGGGGCUAAUACCGGAUAGGAGCUCCUGCUGCAUGGUGGGGGUUGGAAAGUUUCGGCGGUUGGGGAUGGACUCGCGGCUUAUCAGCUUGUUGGUGGGGUAGUGGCUUACCAAGGCUUUGACGGGUAGCCGGCCUGAGAGGGUGACCGGCCACAUUGGGACUGAGAUACGGCCCAGACUCCUACGGGAGGCAGCGGUGGGGAAUAUUGCACAAUGGGUGGAAGCCUGAUGCAGCAACGCCGUGUGCGGGAUGACGGCCUUCGGGUUGUAAACCGCUUUCGCUCAUGACGAAGCUUUGUGUGACGGUAGUGGGUAAAGAAGCACCGGCUAACUACGUG